GUACACUCCUGCGGGAGGCAGCAGUGGGGAAUAUUGCACAAUGGGCGCAAGCCUGAUGCAGCCAUGCCGCGUGUAUGAAGAAGGCCUUCGGGUUGUAAAGUACUUUCAGCGGGGAGGAAGGCGAUAAGGUUAAUAACCUUGUUGAUUGACGUUACCCGCAGAAGAAGCACCGGCUAACUCCGUGCCAGCAGCCGCGGUAAUACGGAGGGUGCAAGCGUUAAUCGGAAUUACUGGGCGUAAAGCGCACGCAGGCGGUCUGUCAAGUCGGAUGUGAAAUCCCCGGGCUCAACCUGGGAACUGCAUUCGAAACUGGCAGGCUAGAGUCUUGUAGAGGGGGGUAGAAUUCCAGGUGUAGCGGUGAAAUGCGUAGAGAUCUGGAGGAAUACCGGUGGCGAAGGCGGCCCCCUGGACAAAGACUGACGCUCAGGUGCGAAAGCGUGGGGAGCAAACAGGAUUAGAUACCCGGGUAGUCCCAUG
rnacentral:rRNA from 1 species